CAGCAGCAUAGGUAUGUUUCUGGGAAUUCACAGCUAACUCACCGAGUCCCAAGUCCCUGACUUUAAUGGUAAUAUCAUUAGUCUCAGUGCCGGAGAGCAAUAUGUUGCCUGAUUGGUUCUCUAUCCGUACAGGUAAGCCUCAUGAUUACACAAAAAGAUGUCCUUGGAUUCAUCCUCCUGGACAUGUCCACCCUUGACCCUGGAACCGCGCGCAUCCUCUCUGCCUGCACGGAGAAGUGUUGAAGAGCUGCGAUAGAGCCACCCGGCUCUCAUACCAGCCUUGCAGUCGCAAGAUUGGAAACACUGAAGUACUCACUUAAGUAACUGAGAGCUUCUAAGAUGCUCCUACCUGCUGUGAAUGAUAGCAACUUUUGCAAGGAGGUCUGUCGCGAAGUUGUGAACAACUCUGAAAUCUUGGGUACGAUUUUGAAGAGAUUCUGGAGCAGGAGAAGAGGGCGAGGAUUGAAGAGAGUCUGCGCAUAAUAGUUAGCU
rnacentral:sRNA from 2 species